rnacentral:rRNA from 1 species
AGUGAACGCUGGCGGUAGGCCUAACACAUGCAAGUCGAACGGCAGCACAGUAAGAGCUUGCUCUUACGGGUGGCGAGUGGCGGACGGGUGAGGAAUACAUCGGAAUCUACUUUUUCGUGGGGGAUAACGUAGGGAAACUUACGCUAAUACCGCAUACGACCUACGGGUGAAAGCAGGGGAUCUUCGGACCUUGCGCGAUUGAAUUAGCCGAUGUCGGAUUAGCUAGUUGGCGGGGUAAAGGCCCACCAAGGCGACGAUCCGUAGCUGGUCUGAGAGGAUGGUCGGCCACCUUGGAACGGAGACAGGGUCCAGACGCCUAAGGGAGGCAGCAGUGGGGAAUAUUGGACAAUGGGCGCAAGCCUGAUCCAGCCAGACCGCGUGGGUGAAGAAGGCCUUCGGGUUGUAAAGCCCUUUUGUUGGGAAAGAAAAGCAGCAGGUUAAUACCCCGCUGUUCUGACGGUACCCAAAGAAUAAGCACCGGCUAACUUCGUG